UACAGAGGGGGCAAGCGUUGUUCGGAAUUACUGGGCGUAAAGGGCGCGUAGGCGGCCCGCUAAGUCGAACGUGAAAUCCCCGAGCUCAACUCGGGAACUGCGUCCGAUACUGGCGGGCUUGAAUCCGGGGGAGGGAUGCGGAAUUCCAGGUGUAGCGGUGAAAUGCGUAGAUAUCUGGAGGAAUACCGGUGGCGAAGGCGGCAUCCUGGACCGACAUUGACGCUGAUGAGCGAAAGCUAGGGGAGCAAACGGG
rnacentral:rRNA from 1 species